AAUGUCCCAUCCCUUCAAGUUUCAUUUUUGGAAUUUAAUAUCUCCUGUUGAUGAUUUCUGUUCCUUAUCUUCUCUUGAUCCAUUUCUGCUUCUCUUUUAGAUUCUGUCUCCUUCAGUCUCCAGCUAAUGUUUCCCCAUAUGUCAGAUUAAAAAAAAAAAAAAUUUACAAAUACUGGGCUGUGAAAGGAACUAGGGAAUGCUUAUGUGGUUGCAGCAGGCUGACCAUUAAAGUGACUUUAUUUCUACAGCAUUUCAGAUGCUGGGCUUGACAGUUUCAUUUCCGAAACUAUUUAUACUCACAAAAAUCCAUAACAGCAUUUCCAUUAUUUCCUUAUAUGAUUUUUUGCCUAUAUUUUAUCAAGUCAUCUUCUUCUAUUCAGGCCUGAUUUCAGACAAUAGGAAUACAAAGUGGAAAAAUCCUUUCUAAAAGAGACUGUAGCUUUUUAUCUAUUAAAGCAUCUUUCUGUGUCCCAACACAUUUUUAUCUCAGCCUAUUUUUCAGUUUCUCCUGUUGAUUUGAUCCAAUGGAAUGACAUGCAGGGGAGACUUAGAUGAAAGUUACACCUGAAAAGGGUGUGUGCUCAGAGCUGAGGAACCUUUACUGAAGCUGCCUUCCUCAUUAUCCACUAAAGUCCUCUUGCAGCUCUGGAUCCUGAUUGCAGACCAUGCUAUAUUAAAGCAAAGGCCAGGCCUCCCACUGAAAACACAGACGGAGUAGAUAUUUUACUAAGCUGUCACCACUGGACAUCACAACAGGCUAGGAUGGAUAAAAAUGAUAGAUUUUAUAUUCUUGCUUUUCUAAAUAUCAUGCUGUCAAAGCCUUUAUAUAUGUGAUGUUCUAUUUUUUCAUCAUUGCAAGGAAAAAAAACCAACCAAACCAUAACUUGCACUUUUGAAAAGGAAACUACAGCUAGCAUUAAAUAUUCUUGAACAACAUCAGUGUAUUAAAAUCUAGCACAGUUUGCAUACAGAGACUGUGUGGCAAUUUGUAAGAACAUGUGAAAUAAACAUGUUAAGAGUAGUCAGGUAUAACUUGUUCCUUGCCACAGUAGUAAAAUCAGUGAUUCCCAGACUUUCUCAUCUAGAAAAUCCUUGCCAGCCCUCAGGACUCCUGCACAGACCCCCAGACCCCCUCAAUGUCAGUGGCUGUUGCAAACAGAAUAAAGACAACAUUUAUUUCACAAAUGAAGUUUGGAAACCCCCAGACGUAAUGAUGGCUUUGGUUCCCUGCAGCUCUACACUCCGUGGCUCUGGACUGUUUGCUGUGACUCCAGGGAAUGUUAGGGUAAGCUUGUGAUGGAAUAUGAUGAUAACAACACUGAGCUACUGAGCACAGCCCCUUUUGCUUGCCUUGGAGAGAUGCUGGCUCAGGAAGGUCAGCAGGUUGUUUGCUUCCUGCUGAGCUAAUUGGCAGGGCGACAGCCACUGCCUGCCAAACACAUGCAUUUGUUUAAUCUCUGCUGGUUGGGGAUGAAAACCACCAAUAGACAAAAGAGGCCUUCUUUCAAAGAGCUGAUUUAGAGCUGGGUGAAGAUGGGUUCUCCCCUUAAACCCCAGAGUGUCAGUAGUAGCUGCUCUGGAUAUGCACAAAUUGCACAAACCCAAGCUCACUUUGGAUCCCUUUUCCCCUGACACUGCAGUAGGAGGAGAGGAAAACUAUUGAUCUUGGUAUAAUAUGAGAAGUUACCAGGAUCAGGUAGAUUUGGCAUCUGUAGUUUUGUAUUUAAAAGCUGAUGCCACUUGUAAGUGCAAGAUUGAACGAAUUUUAGGAGAGACAAGGAGCUUCCUGAACUGAUUUAAGAUACACGAAGCUGCUGUAUUAAGGACACGUGCAAGACCCAAGGGAGUCAGUGCAAAGAAUCUUGUUAAUGUUUUUAGGCUUUUGAUCAAGUCCUAAAGACAGACUCAAGAGCUGAGAUGUUUUGACUUGGAAACAAAGGCCCUGGUGCAAUUAUAUAAUUUCUAUUAUUCUCUUUAAACUGGUGUGUGUUAUUCAUCGUUCUGAUCAGAACAUGCUUUGUAUCUCUGUCCUAUUUCUGGUUUGAUAAUUGUGAUAAACUUGAUAACCUUUUGCAGGGUGUGCAGUUGUACACUUCCUUCAGAUCUUCUGUUUGGCUUGUGCAAGUGCUUUUUAAAUUUUAAAGGACAAAAUUUGUGUUUGUUUUUGCCAAUUAGGGAUUAGCAGGGGCUAAUCAUAUUCUAGAACUAUAGGAAUGAUUGUGAUAAAGUUAGUGACCCUUUUCAGCCUGAAAGAUGUACACUCCUUCAUGUAGAUUGUCAAAGUGCUUUUUAAGCUUUAAAGGGCAAAAUUUAUGAGGGUUUUUUUUAUUUCACCAGUUUGAGAUUAUUAGGGUCUAGUGGUAUUCUAAAAAUACAACUUCUAGUACAGCUUCAUCUUUGCCUCUUUCAGAGAUUUGCAUCCUCUCCAUUUGUAUAGAAUGUACCUGUUGAUGCCAUCUCCCUGUAACAGAGGGCCAUCUCUUUGGUAUCCUCAGGAUUUGCAGGUUUUAAUUAGAAUGGAUUUAUGUUGAUUAGAGUUGAUGGGAUUGAAAUGCCAUGUAGUUAUUAAUUUCCUAGUUUUAAUUUUGCUACUUAGUCAUACAUUACCAAAAAUAUCUUGGAAAUGUGUUUUUUUCCCUUGUAAAGUGGCAAACCAGAGAAAUAAAUGCAUCUCGGCAGGCUGUCAUUUUGAGUACAACUCCUGCUAGAUCCUGACUUAGAAUUCUGUGAAUGACUAUAGAGCUGGAAGAAAAUGAAAAGAAAUACCUGCAGCCAAGUUUUCUUAGAUUUCUUUGAAAACAGGAAUGAACUUUGAGGAAUUGCUGCUAGGAUUUGUUUGGUUUCUUUUUUACAUGUAAACGUCAAUGAACAUAAUUCCUUGAAAUUCCAAGAUUUAAAAAUGUCCAAUUUAAUUUUCAUCUCUGUAGCAUAUGCAAAACAAACAGUUUCUGGGCAGAAGUCAAUAUUAUCCAGCACAUGGAAUGCUGUUUCCACUAUUGCAGGGAGGAAAGUGAGGCAUAAAAUAAUGUGUGGUCCAGUCCAAGGGUGAUUACAAUCAGUCUAAGGUGCAUCCUCAGAUCUCACUGCAACAGGAUAAGGUGUUGUGCAGGUGGACUGGCUUUGCAGGCUGCUCAUCUCUGCAGUGAUGAAUAAAAGCAGUAAAAAUAUUUGCGGAGCAGAUAAAAAUUCAUAUUAUCUUCUUUCCUGAAGUCUCAUGCUGAGCCCAUUGCAGAUGAAGACAGGAGACCACAGCACUGAGCUACACAAGUGGCAGAGUUUUGGACUGGGAAUGAGGACUCUGGCUUUUGCAGAGAAGAGGUUCAGAACAGAGACUGUUUAUAUUCAGUGCUGGCAUUCAACUAGUUCCUAAAACUUCAGGAUAAAAAUUCCUGCAGAAAUCGAUCCUAAAGAUAAAUUCACAGCUUCUUUCAGCUUCUCUCUUCUUUCUGUAAUCAAACCCAUUCCUCACUGAGUACAAGAGCAGUGAACUCAAAAUUUCUUUUGAUAAAAGCAGAGCUGAGCAGCAUUGUUCCACAAUGUGUCCAAGUAAUGCCAAUUGCUGUAACACUACAUUUCCUGCAGAUUUAAGUUCUCUCCUUAAUAUUCUAUCUAUAUGGAGGCAGCUGUUUGAAGAAAACUGCUAAGCUUGAUCAUAAAUUUGCCCCAGCAUGUUUAGAAGUAUUUGUAAAUAAAAUCCCAAUGAAUGUAUUCUAUGGACUUCUUUCAGAAUACCAAGCACCUACUUUGGUCUGCUUCAGUCUGUAUUUUAACUCUAUUUCUGGUUUGCUAUCACUUGGAAGUUUGGUCAGCUUUCUCCAAAUGGGAAUUUUCUGAGGGAGAGCAGAUCUUGGGUUCCAUUGUGAAGGAGCAGAACUUUAGGAAACCUCGUUGCAUUGGUGUAAGCAGAUGGAGAGAAUCAGGAUUCUUCUUUAGCUCCUGGGUCUAUGCCCCUUUUUUGGUCUGUGCUUGCUCAGGGCUGUUCCAACCUUUGGGUUUAGAUGAAGGUGAAAGAGAAAUUAAAAGAGAUACAAACCCAGGAGAUGGGGAAUAUUCAAAUAAUUGACUCAACCACAAAUGCAGCUGAUAAUGUUCAACCUGUAAGUGCCUGUUUGGUGCUGGAAGCUGGGAAUUGGUCAGGUUUCUCCCAUAGCCUUGAUUCUAUCCCAGACAGUACUAGGAGAGAUGUCCUGCAGACACACAGGAACAUGGCAGGAAAUUGUCCUUUCAGAACCAGAAGGUGAAGAUGUGCUUAGAAGCUAUUGGUUUCUUGCUUUCAGUUGCAGAGUGAAUUUUCUGGAUAAAAAAAAAAAAAAAAAUCUCAUCUUGCAGUCAUCCACACAGGAAUUUGCACUAAACAGCCAACACUUGCAGUCUGACCUAUAUGACAUUGCUGUUAAUUAUGUAUUAUAUAUGCUGCUUUUCCUAUUUUUUCAUUGUGAGGGGCCUCUUGGCUUCUCAGUUCAUACGCAUUACUCUCAUUAACAUUAAUAAGAAUUAGGCAUUGCAGAGUGGUUGUCAAGCUAUUUUGAUAUCAUUCCCCAAUACUUACCAGAGUCAUGUGCUCCAAAUAAAGGCAGAGUGUCAUUCUGGAUACCAGGUGUACUUGGGAUCCUGUUUCCUACAGAAUUACACUCUGAAGCUCCUGGAUCCAACCAGGAUUCCAUGGAGAUCUCUUACAUGCUCAGGCCAUUCUGAUCCAUCCAAAGAGCUGAUGUGUUCAUGCAACAAAGCUGUCACAGCCAUCCUGCAGCUCAGAGUUCCACUUAUCCCUUUUGUGGGAAGCUGGUCUCUUACCCAGUUUCCUUUAUAAUAAAAGGAGUAAGAGCUAUGUACAACU
rnacentral:lncRNA from 1 species